rnacentral:pre_miRNA from 1 species
CUUGCGAGGGGGGGCCCUCAGCCCAGAUUGCGAGAGGGCACAGGCCAGGCCGAGGGACCCCACUGGUGCACU